rnacentral:rRNA from 1 species
UACGUAGGGGGCAAGCGUUAUCCGGAUUUAUUGGGCGUAAAGAGCUCGUAGGCGGCCGAUCGCGUCGGGUGUGAAAGCUCAGGGCUCAACCCUGAGACGCCAAUCGAUACGGAUCGGCUAGAGGUAGGUAGGGGAAAGUGGAAUUCCUGGUGUAGCGGUGAAAUGCGCAGAGAUCAGGAGGAACACCGGUGGCGAAGGCGGCUUUCUGGGCCUUACCUGACGCUGAGGAGCGAAAGCUGGGGGAGCAAACAGG